rnacentral:misc_RNA from 1 species
GAUGAAGAACGCAGCGAAAUGCGAUAAGUAAUGUGAAUUGCAGAAUCCAGUGAAUCAUCGAGUCUUUGAACGCACAUUGCGCCCCCUGGUAUUCCGGGGGGCAUGCCUGUCCGAGCGUCAUUGCUGCCCUCAAGCACGGCUUGUGUGUUGGGCCUCGUCCUCCGAUUCCGGGGGACGGGCCCGAAAGGCAGCGGCGGCACCGCGUCCGGUCCUCGAGCGUAUGGGGCUUUGUCACCCGCUCUGUAGGCCCGGCCGGCGCUUGCCGAUCAACCCAAAUUUUUAUCCAGGUUGACCUCGGAUCAGGUAGGGAUACCCGCUGAACUUAAGCAUAUCAAUAAGCGGAGGA